rnacentral:snRNA from 1 species
AUAGCUUCUCGGCUUUAUGGUUAAGAUCCUGUGUAGUAUCUGUUCUUAUCAAAAUGCCAUGGACAGUCUUAUUCAAUUUAUAAAAAAUUAAAAGUACACAUACAUAGAAAAAAAUAAUGGCUAGAUACAUGCAAAAAGUAUCUAAUGCCAGUGAUACUUC